rnacentral:lncRNA from 1 species
GGAAGCCUCGUCCGCGAGUCGCGGACUCCGGGCCCGGAGGGCGGCGGGAGGUCCUGCGCUGCGGUGCGGCUAUAGCGCCCGCGCUCCCCGCGGAAGAACCGCCGAGUCGAGCGCUGAAGGUGUGGCCCAGCAGGAGUGUCAGAACGUGCCUAGCCGCUCGAGUCGGAGUCGCCAGAACCCCCGGAAGACGAGCCGUUCACCGGCAGGCCAACUGGGGCUCCUUCGUGUAGUGGACUGUCAGCCAAGCGUCGGGAACGCAGUGUCGUGGGUGUGCGGCUGACCGGGUGAGGAGGAUCUUUCACAGAGACCGUGCCCCUCCGUGGAGUCCAGGAACAGGUGCUGGAGGCGACGGAGGCCGAGGCAGUGGUUCCCUGGGCGGGUGUGGUGAUAGGGCAGGGGGCACUGUGGGCGGGGAUGGGGAUUCGCCCCCGUCUUCAUCUGGGGGUAGUUAAGUGGGUGUCUGCAUACGUAAAAAUUCUUCACGUUUAUACCCUUAAGAUUAGUGCACUUCACUGCGUUACAAUACACCUCCAAAAAAGUGAAGGUGGUAACACUUCAUCCUUGAGUCCGUAUUUCCCCAUGAGCUCCAAAAUCACGCCACCAAGUUUUAGUGUAAAUUCUCUGCUUUUGUUAUAAUCGAAUCUCCUUUUUUUUUUUUUAGUUUGUUUUUGUUUUUUGUUUCUGGCUGCCCCUGCAGCAUGUGGAAAUUCCCUGGCCAGGGACGGAACCUGGCCCGUGACCCACACCACAGCAAUCCUUAACCCACUGAGCAGGUCCACAUAUAGAUACUAGGCAGGUUCAUUACUGCUGAGGCACAAUAUAAACUCCCAGGAAUUCCUCUUUUAUUAAUAAAAAACAAGACAUGGUUUAUCUAUAGAUGCGAAGCUUUUGAAGUUUGUACUUCAAGGCUUUUUGUAGUUCUUUCUAGUUUAUAGUUAUCUUUUCAAUAACUCCUAUUUUUAUUUUUAAUUUAUACUUUUUUUUUUUGUCUUUUUAGGGCCUCAAACCUGCGUCCUCAUGGAUACUAGUCAAAUUUGUUUCCCCUGAGCCAGGACAGGAACUCCCUUCAAGGAUAUUUGUUUGUUUGAUUCUUUCUGCUUUUUUGUUUUUUCUAGGGCCACACCCACAGCGUGUGGAGGUUCGCAAGCUAGGGGUCCAGUCGGAGCUGUCGCCGCCAGCCUAUACCACAGCCACAGCCACGCAGGAUCUGAGCUGCAUCUGCACCCUACACCACAGCUCGCAGCAACACUGGAUCCCCAACCCACUGAACCAGGCCAGGGAUCGAAUUGCAACCUCAUGGUUCCUAGUCAGGUUCAUUAACCACUGAGCCAUGACAGGAACUCUGCUUCAAGGAUAUUUGGAAGCAUCUAUAUUUAUGGCCCAUCUCAGAAUGCAAAAGGUUUUUAAAAAUGUAAACCUCUUUGCCUUUUGGAGUGUAAAUAUUUGGGGGCUUAAGAGUCUGAUGCAUCUGUGUGCGACAGAGCUGGUCUCAGCAGGCACCUCACUGGGCUCUCAUGAGGGGAUUUCUUUCACGGAACCGUCUUUGGUAUGUAGCAGGUGUUCGUAGGUGUUAGUCAUUGCCGUUACUGUCUGUAUCACUGCCAUCAUCAAAGCCUGACAAGGCAAGGCUUCCAGGCCUCGCACUGCCAUGAAAGAGUUGGGCGGAGCAAGGCCUGUGCGUUGGGUCUCUGAGCCUCACUUCCUGAGUGGGCAACAUGAAAAUUGAUGCCCGCUUCAAGGGUUGCUGUGACCGUUACACCAGUGUGGAUGGGAAAGCAGUUGUUUCAAGAAGCAUCAGAGGUUAAUAAUACCUGGAACGUUUUCCAGAAGAAAGUUAAAUACAGGAUGGCCUGAUGCGUUCCCCACAGGGUGUACUCUUCGCUUCCGUUUCAUUCGUGUUCAACAAGAUGCGCGUUCAGGCCAUGCUCCAUUUCUGCAGCAAAAAAGGCACUUUGCAGCUAUAUUCUUUGCACGUGAUGCUGAGUAGUAUUUCAGAGCCAGGCCUUAGAAACUUCAAGGCCUGGGAGUUCCUUCGUGGCUCUGGUUAACGAACCCGACUAGGAUCCGUGAGGACUCAGGUUUGAUCCCUGGCCUUGCUCAGUGGGUUAAGGAUCUGGCGUUGCUAUGAGCUGUGGUGUAGGUCACAGACAUAGCUUGGAUCCCAUCAUUUUGCUGUGGCUGUGGCAUAGGGUGGCAGCUGCAGCUCCAAUUUGACCCCUAUCUUGGGAACUUCCAUAUGCCUCUGGUAUGGCCCUAAAAAGACCAAAAAAAAAUUAGCAAAGGAGUUCCUGCUGCAGUGCAAUGAGAUUUAAGUGUCUGUAGCACCAGGACACAGGUUCAACUCCCUGCCCCUCAGAGAGGGCUAAAGGAUCCAGCAUUACCGAAGCUUCAGCGUAGGUCAGCUUCAGCUGUGUCUCAGAUCUGAUCCAUGGCCCGGGAGCUUCAUGCGCUGCAAAGUGGCCAAAAAAUUUAAAAAGGAAAAAGUUCUUGUCGUGUCUCAGCAGUAACAAACCUGAUUAGUCAUGAGGAUGUGGGUUCAAUCCCUGGCCCGGCUCAGUGGGUUAACAUUCUGCUGUUGCCAUGGGCUGUGGUGUAGGUUGCAUAUGUGGUUUGGAUUUGAUCUCUAGUCUGGGAACUUCCAUAGCCCUCCAAAAAAAAAAAAAUAAAAA